AAGAUUAAGCCAUGCAUGUCUAUGCAGAAGCCGAACUAUGGCAAAGCCGCGAAAAGCUCAUUACAACAGCCGUCGUUUCUUGGAUCUCUUUUCUACUUGGAUAACUGUGGUAAUUCUAGAGCUAAUACACGCACUUAUGCUCUGACCUCUGGGACGAGCGCAUUUAUUAGAACAAAACCAAUCAGGUUUCGGCCUGUCGGUUGGUGACUCUGAAUAACUCUGCUGAUCGCAUGGUCUAGCACCGGCGACGUAUCUUUCAAGUGUCUGCCUUAUCAACUGUCGAUGGUAGUUUAUGUGCCUACCAUGGUUGUAACGGGUAACGGAGAAUAAGGGUUCGACUCCGGAGAGGGAGCCUGAGAAACGGCUACCACAUCCAAGGAAGG
rnacentral:rRNA from 1 species